UACGUAGGGGCAAGCGUUGUUCGGAUUUACUGGGCGUAAAGGGCGCGUAGGCGGUCAGCACAAGUCAGUUGUGAAAUCUCCGGGCUUAACUCGGAAAGGUCAACUGAUACUGUGCGACUAGAGUGCAGAAGGGGCAACUGGAAUUCUCGGUGUAGCGGUGAAAUGCGUAGAUAUCGUAAGGAAGACCAGUGGCGAAGGCGGAUCUCUGGACAGUUACUGACACUGAGGCACGGAAGGCCAGGGGAGACAAACGGG
rnacentral:rRNA from 1 species